UGGUAUGAAAGGUUUGACGAGAUAUUAACUGUUUCAUAAAAAUUUAUAAUAGAAUUUUAUUUUUUAGUCAAAAAGCUAAAAUAUAUUUAAAAGACGAGAAGACCCUAUAAAUCUUUAUAUUUAGAAUAUUAUAAUUUUAUAGAUGAUUUUUGUUAUAAUAUUUGAUAAUAUUUUAUUGGGGUGAUAUUAAAAUUUAAUAAACUUUUAAUUGUUUAAAUCAUUAAUUUAUGAAUAAUUGAUCCGUUAUUAACGAUUAAAAAAAUAAGUUACCUUAGGGAUAACAGCG
rnacentral:rRNA from 1 species